AGUGAACGCUGGCGGCAGGCCUAACACAUGCAAGUCGAACGGCAGCACAAGAGAGCUUGCUCUCUGGGUGGCGAGUGGCGGACGGGUGAGGAAUGCAUCGGAAUCUGCCCAUUUGUGGUGGAUAACCUCGGGAAACCGGGACUAAUACCGCAUACGACCUACGGGUGAAAGCAGGGGAUCUUCGGACCUUGCGCAGAUGGAUGAGCCGAUGCCGGAUUAGCUAGUUGGAGGGGUAAAGGCCCACCAAGGCGACGAUCCGUAGCUGGUCUGAGAGGAUGAUCAGCCACACUGGGACUGAGACACGGCCCAGACUCCUACGGGAGGCAGCAGUGGGGAAUAUUGGACAAUGGGCGCAAGCCUGAUCCAGCCAUGCCGCGUGUGUGAAGAAGGCCUUCGGGUUGUAAAGCACUUUUGUUGGGAAAGAAAAGCAGCCGGUUAAUACCCGGUUGUCAUGACGGUACCCAAAGAAUAAGCACCGGCUAACUUCGUG
rnacentral:rRNA from 1 species